rnacentral:rRNA from 1 species
UACAGAGGGUGCGAGCGUUGUCCGGAAUUACUGGGCGUAAAGCGCGUGUAGGCGGGUCUUUAAGUCAGGGGUGAAAUGCCAAGGCUCAACCUUGGAACUGCCUUUGAUACUGGAGACCUUGAGUCCGGGAGAGGUGAGUGGAAUUGCGAGUGUAGAGGUGAAAUUCGUAGAUAUUCGGAGGAACACCAGUGGCGAAGGCGGCUCACUGGCUCGACACUGACGCUGAGGUGCGAAAGCGUGGGGAGCAAACAGG